rnacentral:rRNA from 1 species
AGUGAACGCUGGCGGUAGGCCUAACACAUGCAAGUCGAACGGCAGCACAGUAAGAUCUUGCUCUUACGGGUGGCGAGUGGCGGACGGGUGAGGAAUACAUCGGAAUCUACUUUUUCGUGGGGGAUAACGUAGGGAAACUUACGCUAAUACCGCAUACGACCUACGGGUGAAAGCAGGGGAUCUUCGGACCUUGCGCGAUUGAAUGAGCCGAUGUCGGAUUAGCUAGUUGGCGGGGUAAAGGCCCACCAAGGCGACGAUCCGUAGCUGGUCUGAGAGGAUGAUCAGCCACACUGGAACUGAGACACGGUCCAGACUCCUACGGGAGGCAGCAGUGGGGAAUAUUGGACAAUGGGCGCAAGCCUGAUCCAGCCAUACCGCGUGGGUGAAGAAGGCCUUCGGGUUGUAAAGCCCUUUUGUUGGGAAAGAACAGCAGCAGGUUAAUCCCCCGCUGUUCUGACGGUACCCAAAGAAUAAGCCCCGGCUAACUUCGUG